GCAGCUGAAAGGGAGAGAAGGCAGGAAUUGUAAGUGAAUCCCACGGGACCCAGGAAAAAUGCUUCUGACACUGGUGCUCACAUCUCCUCACCAACACCCCUUUGGGUAGAGAGGUCACAAGGACCCGAGGGGGACCUUGGACAGAGACAGACACACUCAGGAAGAACAUUGUGUGAAGACGAAGACAGGGAGAGAGGUGAUGCUUCUACCAGCCAAGGAACACUGAAGAUGCCAGCAACCACCAGAAGGACCGGAAGCUAGAGGGAGAGAGGAGAGCCUUCUUCACAGACCUCAGAAGGAACCCAUGUACCAACACCUUGAUUUUGGACUUCCAGCCUCCGGAACUGUGAGACAAUACAUUUCUGCUGUUUAAGCCCCCUGUUUGUGGUACUCUGCUAUGGCAGCCCGAGCAAACUGAUGCAGGGGGAUGCAGGGAGAGAGGACAGACUUUUUUGCCAUUUGCCAGCUAUGUGAGCCCUGACAAGUUACAGCUCUGGCGGAGACUGGUUUCUUUAUCUGUGAGAUGGGGUUAGCACUAGUGACUCAGAAGGUGGAGUGACAUCUGCAUGGAAGAUUUCAGACCCAUCCCUGACACACAAAACGAUCAGCAUUUAUCACAAAUGUACAAAUUAGUCACCAUUGGGCAUCAUGGGAGGGGACCCUGCGAUGCACUUUAAGUUGCUUCACAAAUACGUGCUUUUCCUCCCCUUUAAAAUUCUAUACUCCUUGUGGGCAGGAAAUGAGUCAUCAUAUUAAAUCCCCAGUGACAUCAGGACAGUUCUCCGAACUCCAUAAAUGGCUCAACAAUACUUCUUUCGAAAUAAGGUGUGUUCUACACUAGAAUUGUAUGAGAGUAAGUUCUAUAGUAAGAUCUUGAUGUCUUUGUGUCCUCAGUCCUGGAUUCCACACCUAAGACAUUCAACAAAUAUGGAUUGAUUAGUAUUGAAUGAAUAAAUUUUAUGGGGUACUUGACUUGGAUUGUAGUACAAUUGAAUCUACAAUAAAGUGUGAGGUUUCCUCAAGAAGCAGUUUUCGCCAGUGCCUGCUAUGCUAGCCUGGGGGAAUACGAAAUAGUAAGCUAAGGAUGACGGAAUGCUUAUUGUGUCGGGUCCUGAGCUUCAGGCAGACUGUUUCUUGCAUUCCUCACGCCAGCAUUAUAGAGUAAAUGACAAUCCUUAUUUUCAUUUUGCCAAUGUGGAAGCUAAGAUUCAGAGAGAUUGAAAGCCUUGCUCCAAAAGUCACAACAAGCAAAAAAGAGUCCGGGUUUAAACUCAGGAAGUCCGAUCCCAGGGUCCACACAUUUAACCAUUAUAGCUCACUCCUUUCAUCUUACUAAAUAAGGAGAACCCUGUUGAGGUUCUUAAAAUCUAGUGCUAGAGUCACUGUUGGGCUUGGCAGGGAUCUUGAAAAGUAUCUAACCCAAUAUCCUGUAAGAAAUGAAACUGAGAACCAGGGAAGGCUUGUGACUAGCCUUACAAUGAGACAGUGACCCAACUGGGACUUGAACCCAGGUCUCCGGACCCCCAGGCUGGUGUGCCUUGGUGGGAGUGGGGACUUGAGUAUACUCGGUCAUUCACUCAGAUCCCCAGCUCUCCAUCCCACAGAUGGUCGGAAAGAGUCAGGGAGGUGUGAAAUGUUGGCUGCCAACCUUCUGCUUCUGUACCUGGAAAAGACUUGGGCCAGGAAGGAAUCGUACUGAAUGGCCCUGCAUAUCUGUCUUUCCCUCCUCGGGGACCCCACUCCCUCUCUUCCCACCUCCUCUGAGGUUGAGUCUUGCCAAAAUGGGCCAGAUGAGAAUGGAAUCCCGUGGACACAGUGCGCAGUCUUUAUUGUGGGUGACAUGCUGCUCUUUGUAACUCAGGACACAGACGUUACAGCCCACAGGCUCCAAUGAUGCAGAGAAUCUUGGGCAGCUAGCCUCGCUCCUAAAGGAGACAGAAUGGUCUUUACCAGGUGGCUGUGUCUUCCUGCUGUGGUUCCAAAGUUAGAGAGCUCUGGGCAAGGGGCUGGAGCUGGGGCUGAUGGGUCUGAGCACAGUCAGCCGGGACCUGAUUCCCCUGAAAACUCCUCAUGGAUAUUCUUCAAAAGACCCAGGGUCUUCACAGAACUCUCUAGAAACAACAAUGAUCUCCUUGGAGCCCAAACAGUCCCUGAGCUAUCAGACAGCUGCCACCAUCACGGCUUGACAAGCAGUGCAUAGGUCCAAACUCGGAUCCAAACCCACAAACCCCAAGCCACUGAAGCAGAACGGGUGAACUUAACCGCUGAGCCACCAGGCCAGCCCGUGCCAGCAUGUGAGUUUACUGUUCAGGGAAACACUUUGAGAGAACAACUGUUAGACGUGAACUUUUGUGGGUCACUUAAAAUCGCCUAGUUAUUUUCCACUCAGUUGAGAGGCAGUUCAGCUCUGACUAGUAGAUUUGGCUCCCUGCGUUCAGCUAGAGUCAGAAAACGUUAGCACUGAAAUGGAUCUGGGGCAUAAAUGGUUGGGUUGUGGACACACUUUUUUCUGUUUCAUAUAUUGGGCUUCCACACACAAAAAUGCACUUGCAAAGAGUGGCCAGAUACUUGGAAGUUAAUAAUAAAGACUCUUAUCAAUUGGUACUCUAGUUCAACCUCCUCAUCGCAAGGGGAAACUGAGGCCCAGGGAGAGAGAGCAGCUUGUCCAAAAUCACACAGCUAGUGUCAGAGACAGAACUAGAACUGACAGAACCCAGGGGUCCUGGGUCCCAGUGAAAAUGGACACAACCUAUUUGCUGGUG
ensembl:lncRNA